AAGAAACUCACCUGUUUGCAAUAUGCGGUCUUUCGUAAUCGUCAACCUUUAAUUUAUCUGUUUACGUUUGGCCUAAAAUAUCCGAAUUAAUCAAUUAAUUAUGUAUACUUUACCGAAAUUUUAAUUCCUUCAGUUUUUGAAGGGUGGGCAGUUCGGGCUGGUGGCAGGUUGGGCAGUCGUGAGUGUCUGUGCGAUGGCGAGAAAAGCGGAAGUUACGAAUGGAAUGCAGGUAGCUUAGGACCGAGGCAGACAGCUUAGGAUUGAGGCAGACAGCUUAGGAUUGAGGCAGGUAGGCAGUUGGUAGGAAUCAGUGGGGGGCACUUGUCAUUUUCGGCCAUGGGAUUCAAAUUUGCAUGCUAUAAGUAUUUGUUACUAACGUUUGUUGUUUUACAUAUUUGCCAGGUAUGCGCGUGGCUGCUCUCAAGAGAAGAUCAAUUUAGCAAUUUGCAUUAGCAUUUGCAAGGUUGGUCUUCUCUUCGCCCCGCUACCCCGGCUGGCUCUCCGAGUGC